rnacentral:siRNA from 1 species
UGCUACUUGUUGUGUAUGUAU